rnacentral:rRNA from 1 species
GACGAACGCUGGCGGCGUGCUUAACACAUGCAAGUCGUACGGUAAGGCCCUUUCCGGGGUACACGAGUGGCGAACGGGUGAGUAACACGUGAGUAACCUGCCCACAACUUUGGGAUAACGCUAGGAAACUGGUGCUAAUACUGGAUAUGUGCUCCUGCUGCAUGGUGGGGGUUGGAAAGCUCCGGCGGUUGUGGAUGGACCCGCGGCCUAUCGGCUUGUUGGUGGGGUAGUGGCCUACCAAGGCGGCGACGGGUAGCCGGCCUGGGGGGGUGACCGGCCACAUUGGGACUGAGAGACGGCCCAGACUCCUACGGGAGGCAGCAGUGGGGAAGAUUGCACAAUGGGCGCAAGCCUGAUGCAGCAGCGCCGCGUGCGGGAUGACGGUCUUCGGGUUGUAAACCGCUUUCAGCAGGGACGAAGCUUUUUGUGACGGUACCUGCAGAAGAAGCACCGGCUAACUACGUG